UACAGAGGUCUCAAGCGUUGUUCGGUUUUAUUGGGCGUAAAGGGUGCGUAGGCGGCAGAUCAAGUUAGAUGCGAAAUACCCGGGCUCAACCCGGGAACUGCAUUUAAUACUGCUCUGCUCGAGUAUUAGAGAAGAAGCUGGAAUUUACGGUGUAGCAGUGAAAUGCGUAGAUAUCGUAAAGAACGUCAGUGGCGAAAGCGAGCUUCUAGAUAAUUACUGACGCUGAGGCACGAAAGCUAGGGGAGCAAACGGG
rnacentral:rRNA from 1 species